GGGCCCGAGAAGUCGUCGUCAGCCCUGGAGGAGAGAGGGACGCCAUCACACUAUGAGGACACUCGCUACUGAGGGUAACGCUGAGAGGACCAGGUCUGGCCUCCACACUGGGGAUGCGGACCACCUACUUGUUGUAGAGGACCAGGUCUGGCCUCCACACCAGACUGCUGGGGAUGCGGAUCACCUCCAGGCCGUCGUAGUCCUCCUUGUUCCACUUGAGAUGGAUCCAAAAGGAGGCACAGCAGGGGUACAGCAGCUGCAGCAGCCCGAAAAAGAAGCUUGACUCCACCCAGGUUUUGAACCAAGGAGAGAGUAACCCCAUUAAGACAGUAGCAGUGAUGAACGGGUCCAGACGCACCUCCCAACCUGAACAGCAACAAGAGCUGUCUAUGUAACCGUAGGCUGAUGAAAUGGGUGGAUUCACGUACAGUAGCGCGACAUAAGCCCUGUGAGUGAUCACUGUAAUGUAGUCCUCCCAUCUCAAUUGAUCACUUGUUUGAUUAAAUGUGUUGUUGGCUAUAAAACCUUUGGCCUGGCUGCUGGUGGCCCAGGCAGCCUGUUGAUGUUGAUGUGAUCAGAUUAUCAAAAUCGAUAAUGACUCGAGUCGGGUCAUGUUUGGUAUGAUCAUUUACAAUGUUUUAUUUUUAAUUUCUUUGAAAUUACCUUUUUGUCAAAAGAAAAUGUGUCAUAAUGUGACACAUUUAGAUAUACUCUUACAUACAAUCACAAUAUGAGGAUAUACCAUGAUCGUCAUACAAUGCCACUGACAAGCAGUCAUCUAAUUGCUCAGUUAUCGUUGGUUUAGUUAUACUAACUCAACCAUUUAGAUUACUCACUCACGGGCACUCUGUCAGAUUCCCAAGACAGAUAAUGAUGAAAGGAAUAAAACAUAGCAGAGAUGUGAUUAGAUCCUUGAGUAUUUAUUGGACUAAUAUAAAUCGUAGGCAUUAACUCUGGUGGAUGGAAUGUUAAAUCGGGCGUUGGGGACAGAAUCACGACACCGUGUCUGCUCUGGAGGACAUGAAGCUGCCGAGAUACAAGGUUAACGUCUCCCCUCUGGAGGCGUCCGAGUGCGACCGUGACACGCACCAUGUC